CCCUACGGGAGGCAGCAGUGAGGAAUAUUGGUCAAUGGGCGUAAGCCUGAACCAGCCAAGUCGCGUGAGGGAUGAAGGUUCUAUGGAUCGUAAACCUCUUUUAUAAGGGAAUAAAGUGCGGGACGUGUCCCGUUUUGUAUGUACCUUAUGAAUAAGGAUCGGCUAACUCCGUGCCAGCAGCCGCGGUAAUACGGAGGAUGCGAGCGUUAUCCGGAUUUAUUGGGUUUAAAGGGUGCGUAGGCGGUCCGUUAAGUCAGCGGUAAAAUUGCGGGGCUCAACCCCGUCGAGCCGUUGAAACUGGCAGACUUGAGUUGGCGAGAAGUACGCGGAAUGCGCGGUGUAGCGGUGAAAUGCAUAGAUAUCGCGCAGAACUCCGAUUGCGAAGGCAGCGUACCGGCGCCAGACUGACGCUGAGGCACGAAAGCGUGGGGAUCGAACAGGAUUAGAUACCCCAGUAGUC
rnacentral:rRNA from 1 species